GAGAGGUGGGGGGGGCGGCUACACAUGCAGUCGAGCGGAUGAGGGUAGCUUGCUACCUGAUUCAGCGGCGGACGGGUGAGUAAUGCCUAGGAAUCUGCCCGAUAGUGGGGGACAACGUUUCGAAAGGAACGCUAAUACCGCAUACGUCCUACGGGAGAAAGUGGGGGAUCUUCGGACCUCACGCUAUCGGAUGAGCCUAGGUCGGAUUAGCUAGUUGGUGAGGUAAUGGCUCACCAAGGCGACGAUCCGUAACUGGUCUGAGAGGAUGAUCAGUCACACUGGAACUGAGACACGGUCCAGACUCCUACGGGAGGCAGCAGUGGGGAAUAUUGGACAAUGGGCGAAAGCCUGAUCCAGCCAUGCCGCGUGUGUGAAGAAGGUCUUCGGAUUGUAAAGCACUUUAAGUUGGGAGGAAGGGCAGUAAGUUAAUACCUUGCUGUUUUGACGUUACCAACAGAAUAAGCACCGGCUAACUUCGUGCCAGCAGCCGCGGUAAUACGAAGGGUGCAAGCGUUAAUCGGAAUUACUGGGCGUAAAGCGCGCGUAGGUGGUUCAGCAAGUUGGAUGUGAAAGCCCCGGGCUCAACCUGGGAACUGCAUCCAAAACUACUGAGCUAGAGUACGGUAGAGGGUGGUGGAAUUUCCUGUGUAGCGGUGAAAUGCGUAGAUAUAGGAAGGAACACCAGUGGCGAAGGCGACCACCUGGACUGAUACUGACACUGAGGUGCGAAAGCGUGGGGAGCAAACAGGAUUAGAUACCCUGUAGUCCACGCCGUAAACGAUGUCAACUAGCUGUUGGGUUCCUUGAGAACUUAGUAGCGCAGCUAACGCGAUAAGUUGACCGCCUGGGGAGUACGGGCCGCAAGGUUAAAACUCAAAUGAAUUGACGGGGGCCCGCACAAGCGGUGGAGCAUGUGGUUUAUUCGAAGCACGCGAGACCUUACCUGUCUUGACAUGCUGAGAACUUUCCAGAGAUGGAUUGGUGCCUUCGGAACUCAGACC
rnacentral:rRNA from 1 species